UGACAUACCAGGGAAGGGGUAUAGGACUAGGGUGAGGAGAGUGAGCCACUUGCCUUGGAAACAACUCCAGAAGUACAGAAAUCAAGGUAUGGCCCUUAUCCUCAUGGUCCAAGAUGAACUGCAGCCAUCACAUCCAUGUUCCAAGCAGAAAUAUGGAGAAAGGAGAAGAG